rnacentral:rRNA from 1 species
UCUGAUGGGACUGCGGAGGACAUUACUGAGUGAGGGCCCUCUGGGUCCAACCUCCCACCCGUGUUUAUUGUACCUUGUUGCUUCGGCGCGCCCGCCUCACGGCCGCCGGGGGGCAUCCGCCCCCGGGCCCGCGCCCGCCGAAGACACCAUUGAACUCUUGUCUGAAGAUUGCAGUCUGAGUAGAUUAGCUAAAUCAGUUAAAACUUUCAACAACGGAUCUCUUGGUUCCGGCAUCGAUGAAGAACGCAACGAAAUGCGAUAAGUAAUGUGAAUUGCAGAAUUCAGUGAAUCAUCGAGUCUUUGAACGCACAUUGCGCCCCCUGGUAUUCCGGGGGGCAUGCCUGUCCGAGCGUCAUUGCUGCCCUCAAGCACGGCUUGUGUGUUGGGCUUCGCCCCCCGUUCUUCCGACGGUUGGCCCGAUGGGGCUCAGCGGUGCGGAUCUCGGGCCUCGAUCCUCUGGGGUUUUGGCACAGUUUGGGUACACUCUCACCGUAGUAGUCGGUCUCACUCGUGUGGUGGGCCUGGGUGCUACCCGUUAAACCCCUGUAUUUUCUAGUGGCUGACCUCGAAUUAUGUAGGAAUACCCGCUGAACUUAAGCAUAUCU